UCCCCGCUUCUCCUCCCUGAGCGGGUGCCUGUCGUUAUUCGAUUAGGCUGUUUAGCCCGCCGUCUACAUGCGGCGGGUUUUUUUAU
rnacentral:ncRNA from 1 species